AGCUAUGAGCCAAACUUGGGACAUUUGGUUUUUAGCAGGUGGAGAGACCGUCUGGGCAGCAGAAACAAGACAACUAAUCAUAUUUAGAUACAAUCAAAUGUCCAAACCAUCUCU